rnacentral:lncRNA from 1 species
AGGAGUUGGGGUCUAGGAAGGUUCAGUUUCUUGAUAUUCUCUGGACAUCCAUUUCCCUGUAAUAAACUUGAAGGACUUGUAAUUAGUCAAACCUUUAGUCUGAGCCCAGUGUGAGGCCACCUGGUCUUUAACAAUUUGUAACUUCUAUUUGCAUUAUGAAGCUCAGGGAUACAAAGGUGAAAUAAACAGAUAUUUACAUAUGAAUGUAACUACUGAAACAGGGAAAGGGGAUGAGUGCUUUUGGUUUUAAACCCAUAUAUGCUGGCUUCAAUGUAGAGUUAACAGAUAUCAGGGCCAAUAUUAAUCAAAAGCCUAUCACAAGAAGACUAAUUAAUUUAUUCCUCCAGUUCUUGGGGUGCUGUUUCCACAUAGCCUAGCCUUUUGCCUACUUCAAGGAAUUGACCUCACAUGGAGACUGCUGCUUCAUCCACGUUCACCCUUUCUUUUUGGGUGUAGCAUCCAUCUUACAGUCAAUGUGGAAGUAUAAAUUCUGAGCCAGUGACCCCAACAUGGGACAAUUCAUAAGGGCCUUUUGAGAUCCCUGUAGGUUCAGAAAAGAUUUCUGUAGUACUUGCGUUGCAGUUCAACUUCUCCUGAGUCUUUUCUUUCUCCCUAGGUGUUAAUUUAAGAUCAAUUUCUGGUAAAUACCAGGAUUCUAAUCUCCAUCUCAGUAUCUGAAUCAUGGAUAUCUCAAUCUAAAGCAAGCUUUUCCUUCACUCCUGCCAGUGUUAUUUGAAGGCUUGGAGGAGAAAUGAUUAUCUAAAUGAUAUCCUAGCUAAUAUUUAUUAUCAAAACAAUAAUAUUUAAUAUUCAUGGUUGUAUAGUUCAUCUAUUUUGCAAUAGAUAAAGAUAUAUUGAAGGGGAAAUCAGUGUCCUUAAGCAGUGCUAAUAUUUGUUAGAGUGUCUUUUAAAAUAUCAACAGUACACGGAUUAUGCAGCAUAUCUAUAAUAUCUAAACAAAUAAUUUAUUUGAAAAUUUUAAUUGCUCUUUAUAUUCAUUGGAGGAAGUAAUAGGCAAAAUACCCAUCAGUAUUUAAAUGCCAAAUAAUAGAAUUAGACCUAAGCUCAUUUCUACUCAAAGUCUUUUCAAUGUAAUGACAUGAUUUUUAAAGUUUAUUACUUUUGGAAUUUUUAAGAAUUAUGAGAAUCGUGGAAAGCCCAUACUUAGUUUUGCAACUGGAUAGGAUUGCACCUCCGUUAGUGGAUAUGUAUAUAUAUAUAUAUAUGUAAGUUGACUUUAAUUUUUAAUGAGGUAACCAUGAGUAUAAAAUUGAGGCAUAGAUAUAGCAGCACUAAUUCUCUGAAAAUGGCAUCUUUAUAUAACUUUAUAUCCACUGUAUCUGACACCAUGGAUCAAGUCAUGGUUCAGUAACAAAAUGCCUCAGUGUCAGAAGACUUUACAGUAACGCACUCACAUUGCAUCAUUGCUCAGAGGUGAUUCUGCUCCAUGUUCUCUUCACUCCAGAACCCAGGCUAAAAUAGGCAAUCACUCUCUGGGACUUUGCCAAGCUAAAGGCAAAGGGAAAACAUGCCUAUCUGCAAAACAUAUAAUGGCCCUCGAAGAUUCUACUUAGAAAUGCAUAUGUUACUUCUGUUCACAUAUAUUGACAAAAAUGUAAAGCCAAAGCUUUACAAUAGUAGAGGUGAAUUGGACAAUUUUCACAUAGUCUUGGGCUCUUUAAGGAAAAGCAGGAACAUUUUAAACAACAUACCAUAUACCACACCACAGUAGAAUACUAGAGAGUCUCAGCAAUAAACAAUAAGUUUCUCUAUUCAAUUGCUAAAAAUAUUUGCAACAAAUUUAUCAGCUUCAAAAUGUCAGAGUGGGCCUUGCUCCCUGUGUGUUUUUACAAGCAUGUGAACAUAUGUGUGCAAGUAUGAGAGACAGAGAGAUGUUAUUUGGUUUCUUUCAGACUUAACCCUUCCAAUUUUAUUUGUGCUAUUUAUUUAAAUAGACACCAGUAAAUAUUAUGAUUCAUAUAAAUACUACUAGGUUUGCAUUUAAUUUCAUUUACUAACUUCUUCAUAGUGAUGUGUUACUUUUCCAUAUGGAAAAUAAGAGAAAG